UGGGGAAUUUUGGACAAUGGGGGCAACCCUGAUCCAGCAAUGCCGCGUGAGUGAAGAAGGCCUUCGGGUUGUAAAGCUCUUUUGUCAGGGAAGAAACGGUGAUCGCUAAUAUCGGUUGCUAAUGACGGUACCUGAAGAAUAAGCACCGGCUAACUACGUGCCAGCAGCCGCGGUAAUACGUAGGGUGCAAGCGUUAAUCGGAAUUACUGGGCGUAAAGCGUGCGCAGGCGGUUAUAUAAGUCAGAUGUGAAAUCUCCGGGCUCAACCUGGGAACUGCAUUUGAGACUGUAUGGCUAGAGUGUGUCAGAGGGGGGUAGAAUUCUACGUGUAGCAGUGAAAUGCGUAGAUAUGUGGAGGAAUACCGAUGGCGAAGGCAGCCCCCUGGGAUAACACUGACGCUCAUGCACGAAAGCGUGGGGAGCAAACAG
rnacentral:rRNA from 1 species